ACCUGGCUGGUUCAGUUAGUAGAGCAUAAGACUUUUGAUCUCAGGGUUGUGGAUUUGAGUCCCACAUUGGGUG
rnacentral:tRNA from 1 species